ensembl:snoRNA SNORA74 Small nucleolar RNA SNORA74
UCCAGCUGUAGGCAGCUGCCUAGGUUGUCUUGUACCUAGGCAAGUGUUACACUGCUGGGAGAACAGCAGCCAAUAGCUGGUUGGCAUUCUGGCCCUGGUUCGUGCCAACUCUGUGUUGACUACCCCAGGAUGCCAGCAUAGUUGCUUAUCCAUCAAGGCAGGGGUGUUUUUUGGCUUCCCUGUGCCACAUUGGAAGGAUAAGAAU